GAUGAACGCUAGCGGCAGGCUUAAUACAUGCAAGUCGUGGGGCAGCGCAGUGUAGCAAUACAUGGGCGGCGACCGGCAAACGGGUGCGGAACACGUACGCAACCUUCCUUCAGGUGGGGAAUAGCCCAGAGAAAUUUGGAUUAAUACCCCGUAAUAUUAUGAAAUGGCAUCGUUUUAUAAUUAUAGCUCCGGCGCUUGAAGAUGGGCGUGCGCCUGAUUAGGUAGUUGGCGGGGUAAUGGCCCACCAAGCCUUCGAUCAGUAACUGGUGUGAGAGCACGACCAGUCACACGGGCACUGAGACACGGGCCCGACUCCUACGGGAGGCAGCAGUAAGGAAUAUUGGUCAAUGGACGCAAGUCUGAACCAGCCAUGCCGCGUGGAGGAUGAAGGUCCUCUGGAUUGUAAACUUCUUUUAUCUGGGAAGAAAUCCAUAGUUUUUACUGUGGUUGACGGUACCAGAUGAAUAAGCACCGGCUAACUCCGUGCCAGCAGCCGCGGUAAUACGGAGGGUGCAAGCGUUAUCCGGAUUCACUGGGUUUAAAGGGUGCGUAGGUGGGCAGGUAAGUCAGUGGUGAAAUCUCCGGGCUUAACCCGGAAACUGCCGUUGAUACUAUCU
rnacentral:rRNA from 1 species